AGUGAACGCUGGCGGUAGGCCUAACACAUGCAAGUCGAACGGCAGCACAGUAAGAGCUUGCUCUUACGGGUGGCGAGUGGCGGACGGGUGAGGAAUACAUCGGAAUCUACUUUUUCGUGGGGGAUAACGUAGGGAAACUUACGCUAAUACCGCAUACGACCUACGGGUGAAAGCAGGGGAUCUUCGGACCUUGCGCGAUUGAAUGAGCCGAUGUCGGAUUAGCUAGUUGGCGGGGUAAAGGCCCACCAAGGCGACGAUCCGUAGCUGGUCUGAGAGGAUGAUCAGCCACACUGGAACUGAGACACGGUCCAGACUCCUACGGGAGGCAGCAGUGGGGAAUAUUGGACAAUGGGCGAAAGCCUGAUCCAGCCAUACCGCGUGGGUGAAGAAGGCCUUCGGGUUGUAAAGCCCUUUUGUUGGGAAAGAAAAGCAGCAGGUGAAUACCCCGCUGUUCUGACGGUACCCAAAGAAUAAGCACCAGCUAACUUCGUG
rnacentral:rRNA from 1 species